GAGAACUGCUCCUCUCUGUUCAGCUCCAUCGCACUCUGCUGCACUGGCCACCUGCAUAUCAAGGUUGCACUUCAUCUGUACGUCCUGUCUCUGGCAACUGUGAUGUUCAACUUCCCUGAACUAGAAGAAGAGGGAAGAAGAAAAACCUCUUCUUUGUUGAGAAUUCAUUCCAGCACAAUUACCCGGCAGGGAGCCUGCCUUCUAGGUUCCCUCCCACGCACUGCUGGAAGCUUCCAGCAUCCUAUCUCUGCAGCUCUAACCCUGUGUCUGCUUUGAUAAGAGCUAUGGUGUAAUCAGCGCAGCCGCAGUUCUCUAGCUCUGAUUCCCCCUUGUGGCUUCUGCAUUCCUGUUGAUAAUUAAAGAAAGCUUUCUUGCCAUGAUGCAGGCUAUAUAAAAUAAGUUAAUAAGUAAUAAAGCAGCUGGCCUUAAGCCAGGAACUUGCUGCUGCUGGUAUCGGUCCCAUCCUGUGGUAUAGUUACUGAGGGGGAAGGAAGCUUGGCUCUCAGACACAGGCUUUUGGAAUGGAUAGCUGAGAGAGUCAGCUUGGCUUGAUGUGCCACUAAAAAUGUAAGAGCCAUAAAGAACAUUCUGUGAGAGAGUUUAUGGGUCCUUGGCCUUUGAAUGAGAUGGAUCGCUGACCCUCCUUCCUAUGUUCCCACCUCAUCUUCUCUCAAGUCCCAGAUUAUUUAACUCUUUUUGCCAACCGUAUCACUGCAUAGCUCACUCCUAUUUUAUUAGGUUUAAAAUAAAUGCAGCAGGGACCUGAUCUCCAAGUUUUGUGUUACUCAACCCUUGAUUUCAUAUCUUCCUUUUGAAGAUUGCACCCUGAUACAUUAAAGAUGAGUGCCUUGAG
rnacentral:lncRNA from 1 species